rnacentral:misc_RNA from 1 species
GAUGAAGAACGUAGUGAAAUGCGAUAAUUAAUGUGAAUUGCAGAAUUCAGUGAAUCAUCGAGUCUUUGAACGCACAUUGCGCCCCCUGGCAUUCCGGGGGGCAUGCCUGUCCGAGCGUCAUUGCUGCCCUUCAAGCCCGGCUUGUGUGUUGGGUCGUCGUCCCCCCCGGGGGACGGGCCCGAAAGGCAGCGGCGGCACCGCGUCCGGUCCUCGAGCGUAUGGGGCUUUGUCACCCGCUCGAUUAGGGCCGGCCGGGCGCCAGCCGGCGUCUCCAACCUUCUAUUUUACCAGGUUGACCUCGGAUCAGGUAGGGAUACCCGCUGAACUUAAGCAUAUCAAUAAGCGGAGGA